AUGCAAAAAGAAAGGAGCAUAACGUCUAAUGGAAAAAUCCAGAAAUUGAUUAUCACAGAAAAGAUAGCUAAGGUAUGCCCUUUUACAGUAGCAGCAGUUUCCAAAAUCUAAGAUUUACUAAAGAUCAAUAUGACAGCUUCAUUGAAUGUCAGGAGAAAUUACAUCAGGAUAUUUACAGGAAGAGAGCAUUAGUUGCUAUUGGAACCCAUGAUUUGGACACUUGGUUACCCAUUAACUUUUACUGUGCAAAGUGUCCUUUAGAUAUCAGGUUCAAGCCCUAAAUAAGGCUAAGGAGUAUACAGUCUAUGAGCCAAUGAACAUGUUACAAGACUGACAACCACCUUAAACACUAUUAACAUGUCAUUGAAAAAAAACCCCUGUACCUAGUUAUCUAUGAUAGCAAGGGUGUCAUCCUUUCAAUGCCUUCCAUAACUAAUGAGGAUCACUCCAAAAUGACACUAAAUACUAGAAAGUUAUUUAUCAAAUGCACAGGAACUGACUUUACUAAGGCAAAAAAGAAUUCUUUAUAUUAUCUUGUCACCAAUUUCCAUGAAUAUAUCGAGAACCAAAUUAUGAUUGAAGCAACUGAGGUACUUUUCCUAAUGAAAAAUCAUAUACUUUUCCAGAACUAGCUUGCCAAAAGGAGACAGUGAGGCUAGAUCUGAUCUUGUUACCAAAAAGAAAAAAAAAAAAUGGAAUCAAAGAAACGCCAGAAAAUCUUGCCUAGCUUCUGACCAGAAUGUAUUUGAAGUCCAAAGUCAUAGGCAAUGGGAAUCAUAUUGAGAAUAAAACCCCUCUGACCACAGCUGACAUUAUCCAUGCAUGUGAUAUUGUAGAAGAUGCAGCAAUUGCUUAUGAAUAUAACAAUAUGAAUAUGACUUUCCCAUAAAUACCACAGGUAAUCAAUUUCCUCUUAAUAAGCUCAAAAAACUUCUCAGACAUGACAUGGUAGCUGAAUCCACUUCACUAAAGCACUCGCCUUUGCUCUCUGCUCCAGGAGGAUAUUUCUGAUAAACUUUGUUUGGAUAUCUCUGCAACAAAAGCAGUCCAUAUAUGUAAAACUAAAACAGCUCAAUUACAGGUGGCAUGCAUUAUCCUUCAUCUUGGUGUUCUGAAGACCACAGAAACAAAUCAGAUGCUCCUUCCUCUGAAACUAUUUGAAAUCUCUAAUAGUGUAAUAAAAGAUUCUAACAGAGAUGUAGGCACACAAAACUACAGGCAUCUCUUGCUGUUUAUUACAACAAGAAUCCUGGGUUUAAGGUCAUCCAUAUGCAUCUGGACAGAAUUACGCAGCUGCUCAAUGUACCUCCUGUUGAACAUUUGAAGAUAAAGGGGGAUGUGUGAUCAAAUUAUGAAAAGGGACUGCUUUCUUCCCUGGGCGAUGUUCAGAGAUCUUUGCCAGGAGUCAAAGCAUCAGGAAGCUUGGGGUCUUUCAUCCUGAUGUUAUCACCAAAUUUGAGCUGACCAUGCCCUGUUCCUCCCUGGAAAUCAAUAUUGAGCCCUUUUUGUGAAGAUGGGUCUUGUUGUGUGAUUCUCUUCCCAAGUAUCACUUUCUCCUUCCCUGAUGUCCUUUAGUCCUCCUCCACAGGAAACAUUCAUUUGUGCUUUAAUGUUUAGUAAAGUAGAAAGCACUGUCAAAAA